rnacentral:rRNA from 1 species
CCUACGGGAGGCAGCAGUGGGGAAUAUUGGGCAAUGGGCGCAAGCCUGACCCAGCAACGCCGCGUGAAGGAUGAAGGCCUUCGGGUUGUAAACUUCUUUUAAGAGGGAAGAGCAGAAGACGGUACCUCUUGAAUAAGCCACGGCUAACUAAGUGCCAGCAGCCGCGGGAAUACGUAGGUGGCAAGCGUUGUCCGGAUUUACUGGGUGUAAAGGGCGUGCAGCCGGGAAGACAAGUCAGAGGGGAAAUCCCGCGGCUCAACCGCGGAACUGCAGUUGAAACUGUUUUUCUUGAGUACCGGAGAGGUCAGCGGAAUGCGUGGUGUAGCGGUGAAAUGCGUAGAUAUAAGGAAGAACACCAGUGGCGAAGGCAGAAGACUGGACGGCAACUGACGGUGAGGCGCGAAAGCGUGGGGAGCGAACAGGAUUAGAUACCCUAGUAGUC